rnacentral:rRNA from 1 species
GGGGAAUAUUGGACAAUGGGCGAAAGCCUGAUCCAGCCAUGCCGCGUGUGUGAAGAAGGUCUUCGCAUUGUAAAGCACUUUAAGUUGGGAGGAAGGGUUUCUGGCUAAUAUCCAGGAAUUUUGACGUUACCGACAGAAUAAGCACCGGCUAACUUCGUGCCAGCAGCCGCGGUAAUACGAAGGGUGCAAGCGUUAAUCGGAAUUACUGGGCGUAAAGCGCGCGUAGGUGGUUCGUUAAGUUGGAUGUGAAAGCCCCGGGCUCAACCGGGGAACGGCAUCAAAAACGGGCGGGUUAGAGUAGGGAAGAGGGGGGUGGAUUUGCCUGUGUAGGGGUGAAAUGGGUAGAUAUAGGAAGGAACACCAGUGGCGAAGGCGACCACCUGGGUUAAUACUGACACUGAGGUGCGAAAGCGUGGGGAGCAAACG